rnacentral:rRNA from 1 species
AGCGAACGCUGGCGGCAGGCCUAACACAUGCAGGUCGAACGGGCACUUCGGUGCUAGUGGCAGACGGGUGAGUAACGCGUGGGAACGUACCUUUCGGUUCGGAAUAAUUCAGGGAAACUUGGACUAAUACCGGAUACGCCCUUCGGGGGAAAGAUUUAUCGCCGAUAGAUCGGCCUGCGUCUGAUUAGCUAGUUGGUGAGGUAAUGGCUCACCAAGGCGACGAUCAGUAGCUGGUCCGAGAGGAUGAUCAGCCACAUUGGGACUGAGACACGGCCCAAACUCCUACGGGAGGCAGCAGUGGGGAAUAUUGGACAAUGGGCGCAAGCCUGAUCCAGCCAUGCCGCGUGAGUGAUGAAGGCCUUAGGGUUGUAAAGCUCUUUUGUCCGGGAAGAUAAUGACUGUACCGGAAGAAUAAGCCCCGGCUAACUUCGUGCCAGCCGCCGCCGUAACAC